GAUGAACGCUGGCGGCGUGCUUACCACAUGCAAGUCGAACGGAAAGGCCCAAGCUUGCUUGGGUCCUCGAGUGGCGAACGGGUGAGUAACACGUGGGUGAUCUGCCCUGCACUUCGGGAUAAGCCUGGGAAACUGGGUCUAAUACCGGAUAGGACCACAUUUUGGAUGGUGUGGUGGAAAGUUUUUCGGUGUGGGAUGAGCUCGCGGCCUAUCAGCUUGUUGGUGGGGUAAUGGCCUACCAAGGCGUCGACGGGUAGCCGGCCUGAGAGGGUGUACGGCCACAUUGGGACUGAGAUACGGCCCAGACUCCUACGGGAGGCAGCAGUGGGGAAUAUUGCACAAUGGGCGCAAGCCUGAUGCAGCGACGCCGCGGGGGGGAUGACGGCCUUCGGGCUGUAAACUCCUUUCGCUAGGGACGAAGCGUUAUGUGACGGUACCUGGAGAAGAAGCACCGGCUAACUACGUG
rnacentral:rRNA from 1 species